rnacentral:lncRNA from 1 species
UGUAUAGGUUUUUCUGAUGUGAAUCAAUUAAUGAUUUUUUAACUUUAAAUUUGGAAUACGUUAUUUAUUUUUAUAGAUAGUUAGUAUAUUUUAUAUAUAUGAAUUUAUUAAAAAAAAUUAUUAACUUAAAUUUCAUAUCUAAAAUAUCAUCAAAUUGUUAAAUCAAAUAAAUUAAAAUUUUAAAAGAUUGAAUAGUUAAAUUAGUUAGAUUUAUAUGUUAAGAUAGCGCUGUGUACCAAUAUUCGUGCACGAUACAGGGGUUGCUUGGUUGUACAUAAUUGCAAUUGCACCAAAAUUAUAAAUACAUAUAGAUCUAAUUUAGUGUUUAUUUAAUGCAUUUGAAUUCAAAUGUUAUAGUUGCAACUACACGAGGAGACUCAACUGCAAUAGUGGAAACUACGUCUAAAUUGACUUUAUUUUUGUAGUGAACGAGUAACUUCAAAAUAAAUGGCUGAAACUAAAAAUCUCAAAAAACAUAGUAAUAAAAAAUUUAAAUUUCAAAUCGAAAGUAUUAUUCUUGCUCUUGAUGUUAAGUAGAGUUUUUUUAUUAAAGUUUCAUAUAAUUUGGAUUCUUCUACAUUGUUGAACUUACAAACGUGUCACAUUAGCCGUUAAAAUAGUCAUUUUUUGAGGCCCUUGAUUAUUUGAUAAAUGAUAUCAAAAAAUUAUAAAAAGUCUUAUAGCGUAAAUCAUACUUAGCGGAGCCGAUCGUUGAAUCGGAUGUUACAUUAUCGAAAAUAACUUAUAAGCAUGAUGGUCACCGUGCUUUCGAAAACACGGGAGACGUAGCCAUAUAUAUAUAUAUAUAUAUAUAUAUAUAUAUAUAUAAUUAGGCUGGAAUACUAUUAAUAGUAAAAUGCUCAUUUUGCUAUCAAGUUUUUAACCCUUGGAUGAAAAAUUGUAGGGUCAGGAUGAUAUUAGUCGGUUAGAGUUGAGUGGUCCCCCUAGGGUUGAGUGGUCCCCACUUGGGUUAUAGUAUUUAAUCAAAUGGUUAGAAAUAAUGAAAAGAGUUGAUCCAAAGGCUAAAAAACUGAUAGCAACAAUGAGAUUUUGCUACUAAUAGUAGCCUAGUCCAACUAUAUAUAUAUAUAUAUAUAUAUAUAUAUAUAUAUAUAUAUAUAGGCUGGGGCUACUAUACUCUUAUGAGUAUAGACCCCCUUGUACUCAUAAAUUUUUAACCGUUGAUUGAUGAGAUGUGUGAUUAGGAUAAUGGUGGUCCCCACUUAAAAUGAUAGUGGUCCCUCCCUUAGGGUUGAGUAGGUAGUUGGUUGAAUAGUAUGAUCUAACGGAUGAAAAUGAUCAGUGGAAUAAAUCUAAGAGCCGAAAAUGUACUUAUGAGUAUAAGGGAGCCAAUACUCAUAAAAGUAUAGUAGCCGAACUACAAAACUACAAGCACCAAUUACUUGGUAUUUUAAAAACAUAGGAGCUCAAUUCUCUCUCUUUCUCUCUCCUUUCAUGUAUUGUCCCUACAAAAGUCCUAAUGUUUUUAAAUAUGCCCCUCUAGUUUGUUACUGUUAGAGAACUGUUUAUAUUUUCAAUUUUGUCAUCAUAAAUAUAUCUCUUCAAAAAUCAUAACAGUAUAAUAUAAAAGAAUAAAAAUAUCAAAAACUAACCAGAAUUAAGUAUUUAACCUAUAGUUAACUAAACUUUUAUAACAGACUCUAACGGCAGGGACAUAUUUGAAAACAUCAGAAUUUUUACAGAAACAACAUAUAGAAAUUAAACUUUAUAGAAAUACAUUCGUCAUUCACUAUAUUUACAUAAAUAUGUAUGAAAUUAACCCUACAUUCAAUUCUACUGAGCUUAAUU